UCAGGGAGGAAUCAAUGACGUGUACCUGAAGAAUAAGCAUCGGCUAACUCCGUGCCAGCAGCCGCGGUAAGACGGAGGAUGCAAGUGUUAUCCGGAAUCACUGGGCGUAAAGCGUCUGUAGGUGGUUUAGUAAGUCAACUGUUAAAUCUUGAAGCUCAACUUCAAAAUCGCAGUCGAAACUAUUAGACUAGAGUAUAGUAGGGGUAAAGGGAAUUUCCAGUGGAGCGGUGAAAUGCGUAGAGAUUGG
rnacentral:rRNA from 1 species